rnacentral:rRNA from 1 species
UACAGAGGUCUCAAGCGUUGUUCGGAUUCAUUGGGCGUAAAGGGUGCGUAGGCGGCGCGGUAAGUCGGGUGUGAAAUCUCGGAGCUUAACUCCGAAACUGCAUUCGAUACUGCGGUGCUUGAGGACUGGAGAGGAGACUGGAAUUCAUGGUGUAGCAGUGAAAUGCGUAGAGAUCAUGAGGAAGACCAGUGGCGAAGGCAGGUCUCUGGACAGUUCCUGACACUGAGGCACGAAGGCCAGGGGAGCAAACGGG